rnacentral:rRNA from 1 species
UACGGAGGGGGCAAGCGUUGUUCGGAAUCAUUGGGCGUAAAGGGCGCGUAGGUGGUCUUGUAUGUCUACGGUGAAAGCGUACGGCUCAACCGUAUUUAGGCGGUAGAAACUGCAGGACUUGAGGCUGGGAGGGGCUGGUGGAAUUCCCUGUGUAGCGGUGAAAUGCGUAGAGAUGGGGGAGAACACUCGUGGCGAAGGCGGCCAGCUGGACCAGUUCUGACACUGAGGAGCGAAAGCGUGGGGAGCGAACAGG